UGGGAUGUGAGGCUGCUUCAGACUGUCC
rnacentral:piRNA from 1 species